rnacentral:rRNA from 1 species
AUUGAACGCUGGCGGCAUGCCUUACACAUGCAAGUCGAACGGUAACAGGUUAAGCUGACGAGUGGCGAACGGGUGAGUAAUGUAUCGGUACGUGCCCAGUCGCGGGGGAUAACUGCUCGAAAGAGCAGCUAAUACCGCAUACGACCUGAGGGUGAAAGCGGGGGAUCGCAAGACCUCGCGCGAUUGGAGCGGCCGAUAUCAGAUUAGGUAGUUGGUGAGGUAAAGGCUCACCAAGCCGACGAUCUGUAACCGGUCUGAGAGGACGACCAGCCACACUGGGACUGAGACACGGCCCAGACUCCUACGGGAGGCAGCAGUGGGGAAUUUUGGACAAUGGGCGAAAGCCUGAUCCAGCCAUGCCGCGUGCGGGAAGAAGGCCUUCGGGUUGUAAACCGCUUUUGUAAGGGAAGAAAAGGGUCUGGCUAAUACCUGGGACUCAUGACGGUACCUGAAGAAUAAGCACCGGCUAACUACGUG